UCACCACUUGGUGGGAGGCCAAAUGGUCUAAAAAGUAUGAUGAAGACCUCAAGGAAGCUCAUGACAAGCUCUUCGGGCAGGUAUUCUCCAACUAUUUUUUCCUAACCUUACAGCCCAAGGCAACACUGAUGAAGUGGAUGUUGGGAAAGAAGAAGAGGCUGAUGAUGCCUUGGUUCUUCAAGAGGCUGCUAUAGAAGCAGCUAGGCAUGAGUGGGUUCCAGUCAUGCUCUUGAGGAUGCUGGGGGCAUCUCUGAGAUGUUCAGUGAUUCAAAGGCAGAAGCUGGCCUAAAGUAGAGACUAGAGCUUUUCGUCGGGCAAGGUUCUCUAUUGUGGAAUCAUCAGAGUAUAAGCCUAAGGAGAGGCCCCAAAUUCGACUUUCCCUUCCUGUUUCAAAAGCCACACCUAUUAAGAAGAGAACUAGGUCUUAGACCUCCUAAGCCUCCAAACCUUCCUCUACCCUUCCAACUGAAGCAGGCAAGAAAAGACAGAAGUCUGCCCGCAAGUGUUCCAAACUUGGCUUUUCUUUACUUAGUUUAAUUCUCUUAAGUUAUAAGCUAAUCCUUUAUUUUCUUGUAAU
rnacentral:lncRNA from 1 species